CUCAAUGUUAUACGUUCAAAUCAACAUCUCUCCUCUGAAAAAGCAGAUCGGCAGGUGGGGAUUUUCUCACUAGGCUGUGAACCCCUCGUGGGUAGGUGCUGUCUAUGCAUCUCUAGCAAACAGAGCCUAGUAAAGCAUCUGGAAUGAAUGAACCCAUCCAUCGAUCAGCAACUACUCGCCCCAUCUUGCAAAUCAAUCCACUUGAUUCUCACAAGAGCACUGUAAGAUGUAAAGGAUUGGUCAUGUACCACGUUUGCAGAUAUAUGGACAUGGAGGGCAAGGAAAUCAAGUGACUUCUCAAGUUCAUGAAGCUAAUUAAACAGCAAGGCAAGGACUUGACCCCAUGUCUUCCUGCUGCAGAUCCAGAGCACUUUUCUCUCUAUUCUAAGUACUUACAAGCAAGGAAAAUGAUACCAGGUCCUCUGUACUCUCCAGUGACUUU